GCUGGCGUAGCUCAGUUGGUAGAGCAGCUGAUUUGUAAUCAGCCGGUGGGGGGUUCGACUCCUCUCGCCAGCU
rnacentral:tRNA from 1 species